rnacentral:rRNA from 1 species
UUCGAAGCAACACGAAGAACCUUACCAGGUCUUGACAUCCCUGAUAACCCGAGAGAUCGGCGUUCCCCUUCGGGGGACAGGGUGACAGGUGGUGCAUGGCUGUCGUCAGCUCGUGUCGUGAGUAUGUUGGGGUUAAAGUCCCCGCAACGAGCGCAACCCUUCGACCUUAGUUGCCAGCAUUCAGUUGGGCACUCUAAGGUGACUGCCGGCUAAAAGUCGGAGGAAGGUGGGGAUGACGUCAAAUCAUCAUGCCCCUUAUGACCUGGGCUACACACGUGCUACAAUGGGCGGUACAAAGGGUCGCGAACCCGCGAGGGGGAGCCAAUCCCAAAAAGCCGCUCUCAGUUCGGAUUGCAGGCUGCAACUCGCCUGCAUGAAGUUGGAGUUGCUAGUAACCGCGCGUCAGCUAUAGUGCGGUGAAUACGUUCCCGGGGCUU